rnacentral:lncRNA from 1 species
CUAAGAAUAAGAUUUCGAUGGAGGGAAGGGAGACCUUGGAUAGGAGACCCUGCUGAUAUUGCUCUUGAUGAGAACUGAUGUAAAACUUUUUAGGAACAUGGAAGCUUGUAUCAUCAUAACUUGAUUUUCUCAUUCAGAGAUCUUUGGCCUAUUGCUUUUCUGGGUCCGUUCUUGUGCAAGAAAUCGAAAUCUUUAUGUGACCUGCUACCGCAUGUGCUCUGAACUAUGUAACUCCUAUCAUUGUUGGAAUGUGGUUUGGCCAAAUUUAUUGAUGUUAAUGAAACAUAGUGAAUGGAUUAAAGUUAUGGAUAGAGGAAGAUUGGCUUACUGACUGAGGUAUAGAGAUUUA